AUUGAACGCUGGCGGCAGGCCUAACACAUGCAAGUCGAGCGGAUGAAGGGAGCUUGCUCCUGGAUUCAGCGGCGGACGGGUGAGUAAUGCCUAGGAAUCUGCCUGGUAGUGGGGGAUAACGUCCGGAAACGGGCGCUAAUACCGCAUACGUCCAGAGGGAGAAAGUGGGGGAUCUUCGGUCCUCACGCUAUCUGAUGAGCCUAGGUCGGAUUAGCUAGUUGGUGGGGUAAAGGCCUACCAAGGCGACGAUCCGUAACUGGUCUGAGAGGAUGAUCAGUCACACUGGAACUGAGACACGGUCCAGACUCCUACGGGAGGCAGCAGUGGGGAAUAUUGGACAAUGGGCGAAAGCCUGAUCCAGCCAUGCCGCGUGUGUGAAGAAGGUCUUCGGAUUGUAAAGCACUUUAAGUUGGGAGGAAGGGCAGUAAGUUAAUACCUUGCUGUUUUGACGGUACCAACAGAAUAAGCACCGGCUAACUUCGUG
rnacentral:rRNA from 1 species